GCCGUCUGCGAGAGACCCGGGGGAAGGGGAGCCGGGCGCCCAUUCCCCACUCCCCACUCCUAGGCCCUGACGCCCCUGUCCCGGCAGCCCGGGCCUGCCGCCCCGCGGGAAAGCCUCCGGGCCGGCGCGGGAUUCGGCCCAGCAGCGCCGCCGUCCCACCCGGAGACCCCGGGGGACUCGAGGGGGCGCGCGGAGGCCCGGGGUGCGGGGGCAGGGCGCGGCUGCCGUGGGGCCUACCGGCCCGAGGCCUACCGGCGCCCCCCCCUCCCGCCGCACACCCCCACCUGGCCCGCGCAGGCCGCUCCGCUCGCCCCACUCCGGCUCCGGCUGGACCCCUGCCCGCCCGCCGUCGCCGCCCGCGGGCGCCCCGGAGGCCCUCAGGCCCCCGGCCUCCACCACCCGGGCGCCGGCCCCACUCACCCUUUCAUUCUCCGCCCGGGGCCUGGCGUGGGCCGGCGAAUCCCCGGCCUCACAUCAGAGUGAGAGGCGCUGGCAAUGGACUAGGAAGCUCGGCUGCCGCUGCUACUGCUCCCCCCUGGGCUCCGGCGAGAGCCUUUCCCUGUCAAGCAAGAGGGGUGAGGAUCAUAUUUUUAUUUUGGAAACUAAAAAGUGCUCCCAGGGUCGGUGAUUAUUAAGGGGAAAUCCCUGAAUAUACUCUCCAGCCAAGAAGGCA
rnacentral:lncRNA from 1 species